AAAAUAAUUAUUUAUUGUUUUCAUGGUGAACGGGUGAGUAAUACAUAAGAAUCAGCUUUUAGAUAAGACAUAAAAGAGUAAUAUCUUGGUAAUUCCUUAUAUGCGCAGUAGUGCUUAAAAAGGGUAGUCCCGUCUAAAAACGAGCUUAUGCCUGAUUAGCUAGUUGGCGAGUUAAAAGCUCACCAAGGCGAAGAUCAGUAGCUGGCCUGAGAGGGCGGCCAGCCACAUUGGGACUGAGACACGGCCCAAACUCCUACGGGAGGCAGCAGUGGGGAAUCUUCUGCAAUGGGCGCAAGCCUGACAGAGCGGCGUCGUGUGAAGGAAGAAGGCCUUAAAUAGGUUGUAAACUUCUUUUACUGAGUAAUGAAUAAUGACAACGCAGUAAAAAAGUAUCGGCUAACUCCGUGCCAGCAGCCGCGGUAAUACGGGGGAUGCAAGCGUUAUCCGGAAUAACUGGGCGUAAAGCGUCUGUAGGUGGUUUAGUGUGUUCUUAGUUAAAUUAUGAAGCCUAACUUCAUGAAAAGUAAGAAAACUAUUAGACUUGAGUACGAUAGGGGUAAGAGGAAUUCUUCGAGAAGUAGUGAAAUGCGAAGAUACGAAGGAGAAGAUCAUAAGCGAAGGCUUCUUACUGGGUCGUAACUGACACUGAGAGACGAAAGCUAGGGGAGCGAAUGGGAUUAGAUACCCCAGUAGUCCUAGCUGUAAACGAUGGAUAUUCGGUGCCGGAAAUUUUAGUAGAAUAUUUCGGUACCCUAGCUAACGCGUUAAAUAUCCCGCCUGAGGAGUAC
rnacentral:rRNA from 1 species